UACAGAGGUCUCAAGCGUUGUUCGGAUUCAUUGGGCGUAAAGGGUGCGUAGGUGGCGCGUUAAGUCCGUUGUGAAAUCCCUGGGCUCAACCCAGGAAAUGCUUCGGAUACUGGCGUGCUUGAGGCUAGUAGGGGUCACUGGAACUGACGGUGGAGCGGUGAAAUGCGUAGAUAUCGUCAGGAACGCCAAUGGUGAAGACAGGUGACUGGGCUAGAUCUGACACUGAGGCACGAAAGCGUGGGGAGCGAACGGG
rnacentral:rRNA from 1 species